rnacentral:rRNA from 1 species
GAUGAACGCUAGCGGCAGGCUUAACACAUGCAAGUCGAGGGGCAGCACAGGUAGCAAUACUGGGUGGCGACCGGCAAACGGGUGCGGAACACGUACGCAACUUACCCUAAACAGAUGAAUAGCCCUCGGAAACGGGGAUUAAUACAUCGUAAACUAUAAGAGUGGCAUCAUUUUUAUAGAGUAGCUGAGGCGGUUUAGGAUGGGCGAGCGUCCCAUUAGUUAGUUGGUAAGGUAACGGCUUACCAAGGCGACGAUGGGUAACUGGUGUGAGAGCACGACCAGUCACACGGGCACUGAGACACGGGCCCGACUCCUACGGGAGGCAGCAGUGAGGAAUAUUGGUCAAUGGACGCAAGUCUGAACCAGCCAUGCCGCGUGAAGGAUGAAGGCGUUCUGCGUUGUAAACUUCUUUUAUCAGGGAAGAAACCUCAGUAUUCUUAUUGAGCCGACGGUACCUGAUGAAUAAGCACCGGCUAACUCCGUGCCAGCCGCCGCUGUAACAC